GACGAACGCUGGCGGCGUGCCUAAUACAUGCAAGUCGAGCGAAUGACGAGAAGUUUGCUUCUCUGAUUAGCGGCGGACGGGUGAGUAACACGUGGGCAACCUGCCCUACAGAUUGGGAUAACUCAGGGAAACAUGGGCUAAUCCCGGAUAAUCCUUCGAAUCACAUGUUUUGAAGUUGAAAGGUGCUCCGGCGUCACUGUAGGAUGGGCCCGCGGUGCAUUAGCUAGUUGGUGGGGUAACGGCCUACCAAGGCAACGAUGCAUAGCCGACCUGAGAGGGUGAUCGGCCACAUUGGGACUGAGACACGGCCCAAACUCCUACGGGGGGCAGCAGUAGGGAAUCUUCCACAAUGGACGAAAGUCUGAUGGAGCAACGCCGCGUGAGUGAUGAAGGUUUUCGGAUCGUAAAACUCUGUUGUAAGGGAAGAACAAGUACGUUAGGAAAUGAACGUACCUUGACGGUACCUUAUUAGAAAGCCACGGCUAACUACGUGCCAGCAGCCGCCGUAA
rnacentral:rRNA from 1 species